GCAUCAAUGGGGUAGUGGUAACCUGGGUCGUUGCCAUACGGUACAACCUAACCGCGUUGUAUCGACCCGCCGGGGGUUCGAUUCCCCCUUAAUGCA